rnacentral:rRNA from 1 species
GAUGAACGCUGGCGGCGUGCCUAAUACAUGCAAGUCGAGCGAACGGACGAGAAGCUUGCUUCUCUGAUGUUAGCGGCGGACGGGUGAGUAACACGUGGAUAACCUACCUAUAAGACUGGGAUAACUUCGGGAAACCGGAGCUAAUACCGGAUAAUAUUUUGAACCGCAUGGUUCAAAAGUGAAAGACGGUCUUGCUGUCACUUAUAGAUGGAUCCGCGCUGCAUUAGCUAGUUGGUAAGGUAACGGCUUACCAAGGCAACGAUGCAUAGCCGACCUGAGAGGGUGAUCGGCCACACUGGAACUGAGACACGGUCCAGACUCCUACGGGAGGCAGCAGUAGGGAAUCUUCCGCAAUGGGCGAAAGCCUGACGGAGCAACGCCGCGUGAGUGAUGAAGGUCUUCGGAUCGUAAAACUCUGUUAUUAGGGAAGAACAUAUGUGUAAGUAACUGUGCACAUCUUGACGGUACCUAAUCAGAAAGCCACGGCUAACUACGUGCCAGCAGCCGCGGUAAUACGUAGGUGGCAAGCGUUAUCCGGAAUUAUUGGGCGUAAAGCGCGCGUAGGCGGUUUUUUAAGUCUGAUGUGAAAGCCCACGGCUCAACCGUGGAGGGUCAUUGGAAACUGGAAAACUUGAGUGCAGAAGAGGAAAGUGGAAUUCCAUGUGUAGCGGUGAAAUGCGCAGAGAUAUGGAGGAACACCAGUGGCGAAGGCGACUUUCUGGUCUGUAACUGACGCUGAUGUGCGAAAGCGUGGGGAUCAAACAGGAUUAGAUACCCUGGUAGUCCACGCCGUAAACGAUGAGUGCUAAGUGUUAGGGGGUUUCCGCCCCUUAGUGCUGCAGCUAACGCAUUAAGCACUCCGCCUGGGGAGUACGACCGCAAGGUUGAAACUCAAAGGAAUUGACGGGGACCCGCACAAGCGGUGGAGCAUGUGGUUUAAUUCGAAGCAACGCGAAGAACCUUACCAAAUCUUGACAUCCUUUGACAACUCUAGAGAUAGAGCUUUCCCCUUCGGGGGACAAAGUGACAGGUGGUGCAUGGUUGUCGUCAGCUCGUGUCGUGAGAUGUUGGGUUAAGUCCCGCAACGAGCGCAACCCUUAAGCUUAGUUGCCAUCAUUAAGUUGGGCACUCUAAGUUGACUGCCGGUGACAAACCGGAGGAAGGUGGGGAUGACGUCAAAUCAUCAUGCCCCUUAUGAUCUGGGCUACACACGUGCUACAAUGGACAAUACAAAGGGCAGCGAAACCGUGAGGUCAAGCAAAUCCCAUAAAGUUGUUCUCAGUUCGGACUGUAGUCUGCAACUCGACUACAUGAAGCUGGAAUCGCUAGUAAUCGUAGAUCAGCAUGCUACGGUGAAUACGUUCCCGGGUCU